rnacentral:miRNA from 1 species
UGCUUCCUUUCUCAGCUGUACCCCCACCCCAGGAGCCCCCGGCUGGGUACUCUGAGGUGGAACAGCAGC